GAUCACCUUAUUUACUCCUGUUGACCAACACAGAUCUACUGACCCUGAAUGGGUAGUGUGUGUGUGUGUGUGUGUGUGUGUGUGUGUGUGUGUGUGUGGCUAUAAUUGGCCCUCUCAGGCUAAAAGCUUUCCCCCACCAGGCUUAUCCUUUGGCAACUCUUUUAGAAUCACACCAGGCUGUCAUCGCAGCGUGUUCGGGUCAGAUUCUGGUCUGGUUCUGGUUGGGUUCUGAUCAGGUUCUGGUCGGGUUCAGGUCAGGUUCGGGUCAGAUUCUGGUCUGCUUCUGGUCGGGUUCGGACCCGCAGUGAGGCCCAGCGCUGUGCAGUGAGCUUGGACAAGUAGACCUGCUCCUGGACGGAAUUAAAGAAACCCAGAACAUUUCUGGGCCCUGAGAAGAAGAAGGAGGUGUUAAUAAAACCUGCUGAGGACUGAAAAGUGUAGAAAUCAGCAGGUUUAAUUGCAAACAGAUCGCAGGUUUGGACAUGUUCAUCCUCACAAGAAACGUCUUCAGUGAAACCUUCUGAAUUUAUGCUUUCCAACUUGGCUGAAACUAAAGAAAAAUCCACCACG